AAUACGUAGGGUGCGAGCGUUGUCCGGAUUUACUGGGCGUAAAGAGCUCGUAGGUGGCUUGUCGCGUCGUCUGUGAAAGUCUAGGGGCUUAACUCCGGGUGUGCAGGCGAWACGGGCUGGCUUGAGUUCUGUAGGGGAGACUGGAAUUCCUGGUGUAGCGGUGGAAUGCUGCAGAUAUCAGGAGGAACACCGAUGGCGAAGGCAGGUCUCUGGGCAUGCCACUGACCGCUGAGGAGCGAGAGCAUGGGUAGCGAACAGGAUUAGAUACCCUGGUAGUCCAUGCUGUAAACGGUGGGCGCUAGGUGUGGGGACUUUCCUUGGUUUCCGUGUCGUAGCUAACGCGUUAAGCGCCCCGCCUGGGGAGUACGGCCGCAAGGCUAAAACUCAAAGGAAUUGACGGGGGCCCGCACAAGCGGCGGAGCAUGUGGAUUAAUUCGAUCGCAACGCGAAGAACCUUACCUGGGUUUGACAUGCACUAGAUAUAGGCGAGAGAUCGUCUGUCCCUUUGUGGCUGGUGUGCAGGUGGUGCAUGGUUGUCGUCAGCUCGUGUCGUGAGAUGUUGGGUUAAGUCCCGCAACGAGCGUAACCCUUGUCUUAUGUUGCCAGCACGUUGUGGUGGGGACUCGUGAGAAACUGCCGGGGUGAACUCGGAGGAAGGUGGGGAUGACGUCAAAUCAUCAUGCCCCUUAUGUCCAGGGCUUCACACAUGCUACAAUGGCCGGUACAGUAGGUUGCGAGACCGUGAGGUGGAGCUAAUCCUUUAAAGCUGGUCGUAGUUCGGAUUGGGGUCUGCAACUCGACCCCAUGAAGUCGGAGUCGCUAGUAAUCGCAGAUCAGCAACGCUGCGGUGAAUACGUUCCCGGGCC
rnacentral:rRNA from 1 species